GCUGUGCUUAGUCAUGAGUCAGCCCAAUAUGAUCAGAAGAGUUUACUUUGAAAUGAUGUCUCUUUGCAGCCGCUAUGAGAAUGGAGACUACAAGUAAUAUUAGCAAUUUGCUAGCAGACAUGGCUCUAUGGGAUAUGGUAAUGCCAUAUCUGGCUGUUCAGCUAGGCUAGGCAUUUCCUGGUUGCACCACCGUCACCUGUUUCUGGGGAACCUAUAACCUUGGCUGACCAGCAUUUGUAAUUUAUUCUGCUGUUUCCCUCGAGGGUGCUACAAACAUGCAGACCAGCUUACUUUCACCUCUUGAGCAAGUGAGAGACAUAGGAAGAAAAAGCUUCCUCAAGAUAAGAGCAGGAGCCUAUGUUGUACGUGCACUCAGUGGAUCAAAACAUGAAGCUUUGCUGGCAGCAUUUCCUUCUCCAUCCACAUCGCUGGUAUCAUCUGCCUGAUAUUUCCAAGACAGGUGACAGAGGCCCUCUGCAAGCAAAAAAGAAGCACUGAUUGCUUCAGUCUCUCCCAUUGAGCAGUCACAUUUUGGCUCAGAUUCCUUUUCCUUCCUUAAGACACUGUUGUUUUCGCAGGUUUCUUUUAGUUUGCAUUGUACGUUGUUCAGUGUAAGUCUUCUCCAUAUAUAUACUUCCAUCCCUCUUUCUCUCUCUUCCACCUCUAGACUGCACUGUCAAUACAAAACAAUAUAAAUCGACCUACCAGUCAAAAUACACAUUCCCAUCUUUUGGUGAAGCAGAGGAUGAUCCAUGUUUUUUCAAGCUUUACAAUUAUGGCAAAGCUAUUUUGCAUAGUGUGUUCAGCAUGCUAUUUCCACAGGUAACUGCACAGAUUUUCUGCUUUACCAUGCAACCAAAUAAAAACAUUGUAAGUACCCCAAAAACAGAGGACAUUUAUGGAAGUUUGAAGUAGAAUCAUACCAACUGUAUCAGUGUUGGUUUGCCUGCAGAGAGAAAUGUUUGAGCAGUGAUUAGAGCUAUUCUUAGUGCUAGCUCUUAUUCAAGCUUGCAGUCAAUCAGGUAGAGCUGGGUAAGCACCAGGAACAAGUUCCAGCAGAUAACACAGAAACCAGUGGCCACUCUCAGUGUUCCCAGUAGCGCUACUGUUUACUUCAUGGCAAAAGAAACAGGGCUGAGUGACAGCUGUCGUUAAACUAUUUCCUGACAGUGUGCAGGAUAAACUUAUUUGGAAACAAACAUUUUUUAAUCCCUGGCUAAGAAAACUUGACAUCUAACCCUGAACAUGAUAUGAUUUCUGCAGCAGGUUUUCCUACACGUGUUUCAGCCAGACCUGUUACUGCACAUAUGGUUGAAAAUAGAUUCUGGUGGUCUGGAUCUGUUUCUCCUUCUUUUUUAUUUUUCCCUGGUUUGCUUGUGCCCUCCUCCCCUCUCCCUGUCCACCCCUUGCCUCCAGAGAAGUGUUGUAAACUUACGCAUGGAGACAAUGGGGUAUAUCUAUCUAUCUAUCUAUCUAUCUAUCUAUCUAUCUAUCUAUCUAUAUCUCAGUAUAUUCCAUUUUAUUCUGGCACUUCUUUUCUGAUCCUCAGGGAAAUUCUCUGUGUGAAGUCACCAGCCUGAACCUGAGAGAUGGUAUAUUUUUUGGCACUGACCUGGAAGCACCAGGAAGUCUGAGAAAAAAAUUCCUCCUCACUGCCUUCCAUGUCUAAAACUUUCAUUUUCACAGCAUGACAUCAGGACCGUUGUAAGAUUUCACUAUGUGGAUGAAAUAAUUUCAUUUUUCUUCCCCUCUGGGAGCUGGGCUAAAAUACCAAACCAAAUAAACAGCUACCUGUAGAAAAUAGGGAAAAUGCUUCCCUUUACAACAGCCUGUUCACACAGCUUUUAGUGCAUAAACCUGUAACAGAUAGGAGGUUUUGUUUCAGAUACACAUUAUUGCACCAGUAAUGUAUGAAAAUUUCUUAGUCUA